rnacentral:rRNA from 1 species
GACGAACGCUGGCGGCGUGCUUAACACAUGCAAGUCGAACGGAAAGGCCCUGCUUUUGUGGGGUGCUCGAGUGGCGAACGGGUGAGUAACACGUGAGUAACCUGCCCUUGGCUUUGGGAUAACUUCAGGAAACUGGGGCUAAUACCGGAUAGGAGCUCCUGCUGCAUGGUGGGGGUUGGAAAGUUUCGGCGGUUGGGGAUGGACUCGCGGCUUAUCAGCUUGUUGGUGGGGUAGUGGCUUACCAAGGCUUUGACGGGUAGCCGGCCUGAGAGGGUGACCGGCCACAUUGGGACUGAGAUACGGCCCAGACUCCUACGGGAGGCAGCAGUGGGGAAUAUUGCACAAUGGGCGGAAGCCUGAUGCAGCAACGCCGCGUGCGUGAUGACGGCCUUCGGGUUGUAAACCGCUUUCGCCUGUGACGAAGCGUGAGUGACGGUAAUGGGUAAAGAAGCACCGGCUAACUACGUG